CUUAUAUUUGACCUUGUAACUUUCAAAAACACUAUAAAACUUCUACAUGUGGGGUACUGUUAUACUCAGGAGAAUUCGCUGAACAAAAAUAUUAGUGUUUCAGAACAGUAAAACGUAUGACAGCAAUAAUAUUGUCAGUGAAAGUGCCGUUUGUGUGUGAAAAAUGCAAAAAAACCUUUACUUUCACGGACAAUAUCAUCG